rnacentral:lncRNA from 1 species
CCUCCUUAAAGAGAAGAUCUCUCUGAUGUCUACCCUUUGCCCUCUCCAAUCCAAAGGGGGAGAGAGGUACUUCCUCCAGGAAGAUGAGUUUCUGGAGACAGGAGGGAAGUUCCAGUGAUUAACCAUGUGGAAAAUGAAAUAUCAAGAUGUGUACUACCUUACCCCACAGGAUUACGAGUCAUCCAAGUCCAGUGGUGAGGCAAAAGUCAAGACAACAGGUUGCAAUGGAUGACCUCAUCAUCUUCAAUGUCUGACUAAGCUCCUCCAC